rnacentral:rRNA from 1 species
UGGGGAAUUUUGGACAAUGGGCGAAAGCCUGAUCCAGCAAUGCCGCGUGUGUGAAGAAGGCCUUCGGGUUGUAAAGCACUUUUGUCCGGAAAGAAAUCCUUGGCUCUAAUACAGUCGGGGGAUGACGGUACCGGAAGAAUAAGCGCCGGCUAACUACGUGCCAGCAGCCGCGGUAAUACGUAGGGUGCAAGCGUUAAUCGGAAUUACUGGGCGUAAAGCGUGCGCAGGCGGUUUGCUAAGACCGAUGUGAAAUCCCCGGGCUCAACCUGGGAACUGCAUUGGUGACUGGCAGGCUAGAGUAUGGCAGAGGGGGGUAGAAUUCCACGUGUAGCAGUGAAAUGCGUAGAGAUGUGGAGGAAUACCGAUGGCGAAGGCAGCCCCCUGGGCCAAUACUGACGCUCAUGCACGAAAGCGUGGGGAGCAAACAGGAUUAGAUACCCUGGUAGUCCACGCCCUAAACGAUGUCAACUAGUUGUUGGGGAUUCAUUUCCUUAGUAACGUAGCUAACGCGUGAAGUUGACCGCCUGGGGAGUACGGUCGCAAGAUUAAAACUCAAAGGAAUUGACGGGGUCAUAGCUGUUU